UGCAGUCGAGCGCGAAAGGCUUUCGGGCUGAGUAGAGCGGCGGACGGCUGAGUAACGCGUAGGAAUCUACCUGGUAGUGGGGGACAACUUGGGGAAACUCAAGCUAAUACCGCAUACGCCCCAAGGGGGAAAGCGGGGGACCUUCGGGCCUCGCGCUAUCAGAUGAGCCUGCGUAGGAUUAGCUUGUUGGUGAGGUAAAGGCUCACCAAGGCGACGAUCCUUAGCUGGUCUGAGAGGAUGAUCAGCCACACUGGGACUGAGACACGGCCCAGACUCCUACGGGAGGCAGCAGUGGGGAAUAUUGCGCAAUGGGGGCAACCCUGACGCAGCCAUGCCGCGUGUGUGAAGAAGGCCUUCGGGUUGUAAAGCACUUUAAGUGGGGAGAAAAGGGUAGCUGUUAAUAGCGGUUACCUGUGAUGUUACCCACAGAAUAAGCACCGGCUAACUCCGUGCCAGCAGCCGCGGUAAUACGGAGGGUGCGAGCGUUAAUCGGAAUUACUGGGCGUAAAGCGCGCGUAGGCGGUUUGUUAAGUCAGCUGUGAAAGCCCCGGGCUCAACCUGGGAACUGCAGUUGAUACUGGCCGACUAGAGUACGAGAGAGGGAGGUAGAAUUCCAUGUGUAGCGGUGAAAUGCGUAGAUAUAUGGAGGAAUACCGGUGGCGAAGGCGGCCUCCUGGCUCGAUACUGACGCUGAGGUGCGAAAGCGUGGGGAUCAAACAGGAUUAGAUACCCUGGUAGUCCACGCCGUAAACGAUGUCUACUAGCCGUUGGGAGACUUGAUUUCUUAGUGGCGCAGCUAACGCAAUAAGUAGACCGCCUGGGGAGUACGGCCGCAAGGUUAAAACUCAAAUGAAUUGACGGGGGCCCGCACAAGCGGUGGAGCAUGUGGUUUAAUUCGAUGCAACGCGAAGAACCUUACCAGGUCUUGACAUCCAG
rnacentral:rRNA from 1 species